rnacentral:rRNA from 1 species
AACGAACGCUGGCGGCAGGCUUAACACAUGCAAGUCGAGCGCCCCGCAAGGGGAGCGGCAGACGGGUGAGUAACGCGUGGGAAUCUACCCAUCUCUACGGAACAACUCCGGGAAACUGGAGCUAAUACCGUAUACGUCCUUCGGGAGAAAGAUUUAUCGGAGAUGGAUGAGCCCGCGUUGGAUUAGCUAGUUGGUGGGGUAAUGGCCUACCAAGGCGACGAUCCAUAGCUGGUCUGAGAGGAUGAUCAGCCACACUGGGACUGAGACACGGCCCAGACUCCUACGGGAGGCAGCAGUGGGGAAUAUUGGACAAUGGGCGAAAGCCUGAUCCAGCCAUGCCGCGUGAGUGAUGAAGGCCCUAGGGUUGUAAAGCUCUUUCGCAGGUGAAGAUAAUGACGGUAACCGGAGAAGAAGCCCCGGCUAACUUCGUGCCAGCCGCCGCGGUAAUAC